UACAGAGGGUGCAAGCGUUGUCCGGAAUCACUGGGCGUAAAGGGCGCGUAGGCGGCCCGAUAAGUAGGGGGUGAAAUCUUGCGGCUCAACCGCAAGGCUGCCUUCUAGACUGUCGGGCUUGAGCACAGUAGAGGCAGGUGGAAUUCCCGGUGUAGCGGUGGAAUGCGCAGAUAUCAGGAGGAACACCGAUAGCGAAGGCAGCUCGCUGGGACGGUACUGACGCUGAGGCGCGAAAGCGUGGGGAGCGAACAGG
rnacentral:rRNA from 1 species